rnacentral:rRNA from 1 species
AUAUCAGUAAGCGGAGGAAAAGAAACUAACAAGGAUUCCCCUAGUAACGGCGAGUGAAGCGGGACGAGCUCAAAGUUAUAAUCUCGGAGGCAGCUCUGCGAAUUGUAGUCUAUAGGUGGGGGUUUGGCAGGGAGGGUUGGUGGUCAAGUCCCUUGGAAGAGGGUGCCAGAGAGGGUGACAGCCCCGUGGACCAGCAGCCAGCCCUGCUCUCCCCCGCCAACGAGUCGAGUUGUUUGGGAAUGCAGCUCAAAGGGGGUGGUAAAUCUCAUCCAAAGCUAAAUAUUGGCAAGAGACCGAUAGCGAACAAGUACCGCGAGGGAAAGAUGAAAAGCACCUUGAAAAGGGAGUUAAACAGUGCGUGAAAUUGUUAAAAGGGAAACGAUAGAGGUUAGUGUUGGUGAUUGGGGGUGGAUCUGGAUCUCUGGGUUCGCUGUCCCAUUUGCCGAGUCAAUGUCGAUUGCGGGUGCUGGAAAAGGGGGCUGGAAAGGUGGAGUCAGCAAUGUCUCUUUAUAGUCCAGCCAGUCCUGCAGCAGCUGCGAUCGGGGAGGGGCUGGUGGAAGGGUGUUGGAUGCGUGGGGCAGUGAUUGUAUAGCACAUGUGCCGUAUAGUAACUAUCUCGUGUAUGCCGUCGCUCUUUAUGCAGCGCCGUUUUGACGAAAUGACCUCUAACGA